GAUGAACGCUGACAGAAUGCUUAACACAUGCAAGUCGACUCGAGUCUUCGGACUUGGGUGGCGCACGGGUGAGUAACGCGUAAAGAACUUGCCUCUUAGACCGGGACAACAUCUGGAAACGGAUGCUAAUACCGGAUAUUAUGGUUUUUUCGCAUGGAGGAAUCAUGAAAGCUAGAUGCGCUAAGAGAGAGCUUUGCGUCCCAUUAGCUGGUUGGUGAGGUAACGGCCCACCAAGGCAAUGAUGGGUAGCCGGCCUGAGAGGGUGAACGGCCACAAGGGGACUGAGACACGGCCCUUACUCCUACGGGAGGCAGCAGUGGGGAAUAUUGGACAAUGGACCACAAGUCUGAUCCAGCAAUUCUGUGUGCACGAUGACGUUUUUCGGAAUGUAAAGUGCUUUCAGUCGGGAAGAAGUCAGUGACGGUACCGACAGAAGAAGCGACGGCUAAAUACGUGCCAGCAGCCGCGGUAAUACGUAUGUCGCAAGCGUUAUCCGGAUUUAUUGGGCGUAAAGCGCGUCUAGGCGGCAAGGAAAGUCUGAUGUGAAAAUGCGGAGCUCAACUCCGUAUGGCGUUGGAAACUGCCUUACUAGAGUACUGGAGAGGUAGGCGGAACUACAAGUGUAGAGGUGAAAUUCGUAGAUAUUUGUAGGAAUGCCGAUGGGGAAGCCAGCCUACUGGACAGAUACUGACGCUCAAGCGCGAAAGCGUGGGUAGCAAACAGG
rnacentral:rRNA from 1 species